CCUACGGGCGGCUGCAGUGGGGAAUUUUGCGCAAUGGGCGAAAGCCUGACGUAGCGACACCGCGUGAGCGAAGAAGCCCUUUGGGGUGUAAAGCUCUGUCGGCUGGAACGAAAAAAAUGACGGUACCAGCAAAGGAAGCAUCGGCUAACUACGUGCCAGCAGCCGCGGUAAGACGUAGGAUGCGAGCGUUGUCCGGAUUUAUUGGGCGUAAAGAGUUCGUAGGUGGCUUGUCAAGUUUGAUGUUAAAGAUCGGGGCUCAACCCUGGGACUGCAUUGAAUACUGGCAGGCUUGAGUGUGGUAGAGGCUAGUGGAAUUCCCAGUGUAGCGGUGAAAUGCGUAGAUAUUGGGAAGAACACCGGUGGCGUAGGCGACUAGCUGGGCCAUAACUGACACUGAGGAACGAAAGCCAGGGUAGCGAAUGGGAUUAGAUACCCGGGUAGUC
rnacentral:rRNA from 1 species